rnacentral:rRNA from 1 species
AUUGAACGCUGGCGGCAGGCCUAACACAUGCAAGCUGAACGAGUGGCGGACGGGUGAGUAAUGCCUGGGAAUCUGCCUGAUGGAGGGGGAUAACUACUGGAAACGGUCGCUAAUACCGCAUAUCAUCGGAUGUGCCCAUAUGGGAUUAGCUAGUAGGUGGGGUAAAGGCUCACCUAGGCGACGAUCCCUAGCUGGUCUGAGAGGAUGACCAGCCACACUGGAACAGGGACGCGGUCCUAACGCCUGCGGUAGUCAGCAGUGGGGAAUAUUGCACGAUGGGCGCAAGCCUGAUGCGGCCAUGCCGCGUGUAUGAAGAGGGCCUUCGGGUUUUAAAGUGCUUUCCGCGGGGAAGCGUUACCCGCAGAAGAAGCACCGGCUAACUCCGUGCCAGCAGCCGCGGUAAUAC